CCGCUUUGUUCACAUAUUCCCUUGUUGGAUUCCGCGACGGGUGGGGGCUGCGAGUGAUGAAUCUGAAUCAUUUAAAAAUAUGGAAAAUAUAAAUAAACGACCGCACACGGAAACAAACUCUGACGGCAAGGAAGGAUGAUUGACCAUGCACAUGCGCUGGUCUAUUUGUGCCCGUGAACAGGUGUGACUGGAGUAGCAGAAAAUACGUUUAAUGUCCUUACAUUUGUUUUCGAUAUAUGUAUAUAGACCCUAGGCAAACAAAAGAUCUAGAGUAGAAUUUACGUAAAUGUCAAGACAUUCUUGCAAUACACAGCGUGCGGCCACUUCGACCAGAUGUUAUCACAUCGGGCUGGAUGAACGCGCCCGCGAUGCGUGUUCCCCACUGAUUGGUCGAUUCAAUUCAACGGCAGAGGGUUAAAUUGAGCAUACAGAUUAUCGUAUAAAUUUAGUUAAUAUGAAUAUAAUUAUUAUCAAUAAAUGUUGCAGUAAAACUGUU
rnacentral:lncRNA from 1 species